rnacentral:rRNA from 1 species
CCUACGGAGCCUUGUGCCUAUUCCGUAGGUGGAACCUGCGGAAGGAUCAUUA